CCAUGCAGAUUUGAUUAUAUCCAGUGAAGGCACACAUGAAACUCAGAAGUCGGUGGCCAGAAAUUAUAUCAACCAAUUGAUCAAUCUUCGANAAUGAAAAGCUAUCCUUCGGACAAGCUACAUUCAGAUCAGUACAAUCGAUGCAGAUCCUCCGCUUCCCAUUGGCUUUUCUUACAUUACCAUAUUGGCAAGCUAGUCGGGAUAUAUAGCUUUUCUGAUAAAAUCUGCUGUGAUAUGUUUGUCGACUUCUUCAUCAAUGACCUUUUAUCUUUCAGGAGUAAAAGGUCACUUCUUCUAUCUCACUGGCUUAACACUUAGGUUGAUGUUAAGUCGGUGAGUUAUUAUUUCUGAAGAAAUCUCGAUCAUGUCGGUGGCCGAUCAAGUAAAAAUAUCAGCGUUGGCUCUGAGCAAUUUUAUUAGUUGUUGUCGCUCUGAGUUGGAUAAUUGUGAUCCAAUUUAGAUCAUUUUCUUCGGAUCUUCUUCUUUUAACGAGAUGGAAACCAGUUGUUUAGCCGAUUCACCCCUCCCUUGAUUUUUUCUUUGGUCCAAUUUAUCAACAGGCAAAGAGUCUUUAGAUUUAUUAUUUUGGGUGGAGACAAGGAAGUAAUGUUGGGCGAGUUGUUGAUCUCCACACAUCUCUUUGACUCCAUAUCUUGUCGAAAAUUAGACUAACAAAUGGUAUGUCGAAACCACUGCUCUCAGAGCGUUAAGCCCAGGUCGUCUGAGUAUGACAUUAUAAGCC
rnacentral:lncRNA from 1 species